rnacentral:rRNA from 1 species
CAAGCGAAAGCAUUAAGUGAACCACGUGGGGAGUACGAUCGCAAGGUUGAAACUCAAAGGAAUUGACGGGGGCCCGCACAAGCGGAGGAACAUGUGGUUUAAUUGGAUGAUACGGGAGGAACCUUACCUGGGCUUAAAUGUAGAGUGACAGAUUGUGAAAGCAGUCCUUCUUCGGACACUNUACAAGGUGCUGCAUGGUUGUCGUCAGCUCGUGCCGUGAGGUGUCGGGUUAAGUCCCAUAACGAGCGCAACCCUUAUCGUUAGUUGCCAGCGGGUCAAGCCGGGGACUCUAGCGAGACUGCCACCGUAAGGUGUGAGGAAGGUGGGGAUGACGUCAAAUCAGCACGGCCCUUAUGUCCAGGGCUACACACGUGUUACAAUGGCCGAUACAAAGGGCAGCUACUUCGUGAGAAGAUGCUAAUCUCUAAAGUCGGUCUCAGUUCGGAUCGAAGUCUGCAACCCGACUUCGUGAAGCUGGAUUCGCUAGUAAUCGCAUAUCAGCCAUGAUGCGGUGAAUACGUUCCCGG